GACGAACGCUGGCGGCGUGCCUAAUACAUGCAAGUCGAACGCAGUGGGGACGGGGGAUUAACACGUGGGUAACUUCCCAUCAGAGGGGAUAACACUUGGAAAAAGGCGCUAAACCGCUAUUCAUGGAUCACCCCGCGAUGCUGUAGCUAGUUGGUGAGGUAACGUCGCACCAAGGCCACGAUGCAUAGCGGCCCUGCGAGGAGGAUCGGCCACACUGGUACUGAGACACGGCCCAGACGCCUACGGGAGGCAGCAGGAGGGAAUCUUCGGCAAUGGACGAAAGUCUGACCGAGCCAAGCCGCGUGAAUGAAGAAGGUUUUCGGAUCGUAAAACUCUGUUGUUGGGGAAGCGGUAUCUAAAGAGAAAGCAACGGCUAACUACGUGCCAGCAGCCGCGGUAAUUC
rnacentral:rRNA from 1 species